AUGUGUUGCUUCUCAUUCUCAUUCUCAUUCUUCUUUAUGUGCUGCGUUUUCCUUCCAAGUUUCACUUUCUCGGCCUCCGUUUCCACCCACACAAUCAGCCCCGAUUUCACAGCCUCCAACUUCGAAUUCAUCAACACCAGUGGCGCUUUCUUACGCUCUCAAAAUGGUACUUUCAAAGCCACAAUUGAUGCCAGUCCACCCUCCUCAAAUAUUACUUCUCAAUCGUCCACAGUGCCACCAAAAUUAUAAUCUGGUCAGCCAACCGCGACAGACCCAUGUCAAGCUCUGACAAGUUGUCACUAACUGUUAACGGCCUCACGGUCACAAACCAAACUGGUCAAACACUCUGGUCAACCCCGCAAUUCAAUUCUGAUAUUUCUGCUAUGCAGCUUUCAGAGACAGGAAAUCUCGUUUUAGUUGAUGCAGGAAACAAUACGUUGUGGGAGAGUUUUGAUCAUCCGACGGACACUAUUGUCAUGGGACAGAGAAUUCCUAUUGGAAAAUCAUUGCAAAGCGCUGUGACAGAGGAGGACAUGUCGGGGGUGAUUAUCGACUUGAAGUUACUGACAGGGAUGUGGUGCUGCAGUGGAAAAAGACGAAUUAUUGGGAAUUGUCCAUGGAUCCAAUGGCUGUCAGGAACCCUAACAAGGCCGUAUCGAUGAUGGUGAUGAAUGGUACAGGUUUGUAUUUGCUAGCAAGUGAUAAUUCCACGGUUGUUCAAGUAGCUUUGAAUGGUUCAGAAAGUUUUUGGAGCGGUAAGUUGGGUUUCGAUGGCAGAUUUAGCAUCGUCAGAAGCUGGAGAGACGAAUGGGAGGAAGAACUUUUAGGACCAUUUGAGGAUUGUGAUCUUCCUCUCUAUUGUAAAGAAAUUGGAUUGUGCAGAAGAAGGACUCUGGGUGGAAUUUGUUCUUGUUUACCAGAAUUCAGUUAUCAAACCAAUGGUGAUUGCAUGCCAGUGAAUAGUUCGCUUUCUCUGCCUUCAGCUAGUACUGCGGCUAGAAAUGGCAGUCAAUUGAAUUCCUCUAUUUCCUAUCUAAAAUUCGGCCCUGGUAUGGACUAUUUUGCUAAUAAUUUCAGUGAACCCUUGAAAAAUAUUGUAACGUUGUCGGUUUGCCAAGAUUUAUGCUCUCAAAGUUGUUCUUGUCUGGGCUUUUUCCAUGAAAUUUCUUCUGGUUCUUGUUAUCUUCUUGAAAACCAUUUAGGUUCUUUCAGUUGGACAGACAAAAGUACGGGCCGUUUUGGUUAUAUUAAAUUUUUGGUUGGUUCUUCUCAUGGAAACUCAAUUGGGUCUAACAUAAAUCAGAAACAAAACUUAUCAGUCGCUGGUUUGGUACUAUUACCUUUAACAGGAUUCUUAAUACUAAUAGUGUUUGUAAUCAUUGCAAUCCUUUGGUUAAGGAAAAAGCGGCUUUCUAAAACCAAAACUGUAAAACUAGGCCAGAGUAACUCGUUAUUAUCUGCAGAGCUAGAGAUGAUCUCCAUCCCAGGCUUACCAAGAAGGUUUGAUUAUGAAGAGUUAGCAGCUGCUACUGAGAACUUCAAGAACAAGAUUGGUCAUGGUGGCUUCGGUACUGUAUACAAAGGAACUCUGACAGACCAAACUAUUGUGGCAGUGAAGAAGAUUACAAGUUCAGGAGUCCAAGGGAAGAAGGAGUUUUGUUCUGAGAUUUCAAUAAUUGGGAACAUCCGCCAUGUCAAUUUGGUUAGAUUGGCAGGUUUUUGUGCACAAGAUAAGCAGCGCUUUCUUGUUCUUGAGUAUAUGAACAGAGGCUCAUUGGACAGUACACUCUUUGGUGAUGGUCCUGUUUUACAAUGGGGAGAGAGAGUGGAAAUAGCACUUGGAACAGCUAGGGGACUUGCUUACUUGCAUAGCGAAUGUGAGCAAAGGAUCAUCCACUGUGAUGUGAAGCCAGAGAACAUUCUCUUGCAUGACAAUUUACAAGUGAAAAUCUCCGAUUUUGGGAUUUCGAAGCUCAUAAGUCGUGAACAAUCCACUUUUUUUACUACAAUGAGAGGAACUCGAGGUUAUCUUGCACCGGAGUGGUUGACAAGUUCAGCUAUUUCUAACAAGGUUGAUGUAUAUAGUUAUGGGAUGGUUUUACUGGAGAUUGUAAGGGGCAGAAGGAAUUGCACAUUACAAAGAUAUAGCCACGUUACCGAAAAUGAUAUCGAAGGAAAUGGCGUAUCCUCAUACUCUUCUGGCUCGGAACUAAGACUAAUAUAUUUCCCUCUAAUUGCAUUAGAAAUGCAUGUGCGAAGAAGAUAUUUGGAGCUUGCAGAUCCAAGGUUAGAGGGAGGAGUGUCAAGUGAAGAGAUUGAGAAGCUAGUGCGGAUUGCCUUGUGUUGUUUGCACCAAGAUCCAGCACUGCGGCCGACUAUGGUUAAAGUUGUUGCCAUGUUGGAAGGUGGAUUGGCUUUGAGCGAGCCGAGGGUCAAGUCACUAAAUUUCUUGCGAGCCUACGGCCAGAGAUUCACCGAAACAACAACAAUGCAAGGGCCUACUUCGAAUGGUGCUGCAAUUGCUACAUAUAACUCAUUGUCUUACAUCUCUUCACAACAGCUCUCAGGUCCCAGGUAAUGCUCCAAAGAUUGUCUAUAUUACUUGCCUGAUAAAAUUGACUUAAGGGUAUCUAUGUAUUUGGCUUUUUGGCUAGUUUUAUUAAACUCUCUGUAUUUUCAUUUUAUCUGCUAAUGCUGCUUGCAAUUUUCCUCUGCUAAUUGUAAGUACGCCAGUUUUGGUUCUCCUUUGCUUUGAUAUUGGGAGCCCAUGUGUGUGACUCAGACUUUUCAUGGUCAG